GUACUCACUUCGGCAACAUAUAUAGGAAACUUAGAAGCAUAUAGAGAAGGUUAGUAUUGUCCCUGUGCAAAGAUAGCAUGCAAUUUUGUGAAGUCUUCCAUAUUUUG